UUUUUUUUUUUUUAAAUUGUGAAUAAUUAAUGGUAUUUUAAAUGCUACAGGAGGCUGAAAUCAACAUACAAAACCACUAUGAAUAUAUAUACAAUUAUACUGCGUAAUUUAAUUACAUUUAAAAAAAGGCAUACAAGUUGUUGGUUUUUUUUUAAAAAGAGAGAAUUUACUGGACGUGUGACAGAUAUGUGAAACAUUAUAAAGGGUUAUACAAUAGAGCAAUGUAAACGUACAAGUUAUAGAUUUGAGGUUGUCUUGGAG